GGUGAGUAACACGUGGGUAACCUGCCUCACAGCUGGGGAUAACAUCGAGAAAUCGAUGCUAAUACCGAAUGUGCUGAACAUCAUAAGAUGUUCAAGUGAAAGACGGUUUCGGCUGUCACUGUGAGAUGGACCCGCGCUGGAUUAGCUAGUUGGUAAGGUAAUGGCUUACCAAGGCGACGAUCCAUAGCCGACCUGAGAGGGUGAUCGGCCACAUUGGGACUGAGACACGGCCCAAACUCCUACGGGAGGCAGCAGUAGGGAAUCUUCGGCAAUGGACGAAAGUCUGACCGAGCAACGCCGCGUGAGCGAAGAAGGCCUUCGGGUCGUAAAGCUCUGUUGUUAGAGAAGAACAUGGGUGAGAGUAACUGUUCACCCCUUGACGGUAUCUAACCAGAAAGCCACGGCUAACUACGUGCCAGCAGCCGCGGUAAUACGUAGGUGGCAAGCGUUGUCCGGAAUUAUUGGGCGUAAAGCGCGCGCAGGCGGCUUCUUAAGUCUGAUGUGAAAUCUUGCGGCUCAACCGCAAGCGGUCAUUGGAAACUGGGAGACUUGAGUGCAGGAGAGGGAAGCGGAAUUCCNUGUGUAGCGGUGAAAUGCGUAGAGAUAUGGAGGAACACCAGUGGCGAAGGCGGCUUCCUGGCCUGUAACUGACGCUGAGGCGCGAAAGCGUGGGGANCAAACAGGAUUAGAUACCCUGGUAGUCCACGCC
rnacentral:rRNA from 1 species